GGAUGAAGAACGUAGCGAAAUGCGAUAACUAGUGUGAAUUGCAGAUUUUAGUGAAUCAUCGAGUUUUUGAACGCACAUUGCGCCCCUUGGUAUUCCGGGGGGCAUGCCUAUUCGAGCGUCGUUUGACCUCUCAAGCUUAGCUUGGUGUUGGAGCUCGCCCUGCUUGCGGUGGCGGCUCUCGAAAUCAUCGGCGGUGCCGGUGCGGCCUGGAAGCGCAGCAGAUGAUGUGCUACCGUGGGCCCGCAGACGCCUGCCGGAUCAAACGUCCUAGACACUUUUACCACAAAGACCUCGAAUUAGGUAGGGAUACCCGCUGAACUUAAGCAUAUCAAUAAGCGGAGGA
rnacentral:misc_RNA from 1 species